UACGGAAUGUGCAAACGUUAUUCGGAAUCACUGGGCUUAAAGAGUCCGUAGGCGGCAUGUUAGGUGAGGUGUGAAAUCCCCCGGCUCAACCGAGGAAUUGCGCUUCAAACCGGCGUGCUAGAGGAAGAUAGAGGUGGGCGGAACUGAUGGUGGAGCGGUGAAAUGCGUAGAUAUCGAGAGGAACACCUGCGGCGAAGGCGGGUUGCUGGGCUGAUACUGACGCUGAUGCGCGAAAGCCAGGGGAGCGAACGGG
rnacentral:rRNA from 1 species